GAUGAAGAACGUAGUGAAAUGCGAUACGUAAUGUGAAUUGCAAAUUCAGUGAAUCAUCGAGUCUUUGAACGCACAUUGCGCCCCCUGGUAUUCCGGGGGGCAUGCCUGUCCGAGCGUCAUUGCUGCCCUCAAGCACGGCUUGUGUGUUGGGCCCCGUCCUCCGAUCCCGGGGGACGGGCCCGAAAGGCAGCGGCGGCACCGCGUCCGGUCCUCGAGCGUAUGGGGCUUUGUCACCCGCUCUGUAGGUCCGGCCGGCGCUUGCCGAUCAACCCAAAUUUUUAUCCAGGUUGACCUCGGAUCAGGUAGGGAUACCCGCUGAACUUAAGCAUAUCAAUAAGCGGAGGA
rnacentral:misc_RNA from 1 species